rnacentral:rRNA from 1 species
UACAGAGGUCCCAAGCGUUGUUCGGAUUCACUGGGCGUAAAGGGUGCGUAGGUGGUGAGGUAAGUCGGAUGUGAAAUCUCCGAGCUCAACUCGGAAAUGGCAUUGGAAACUACCUUGCUCGAGGGUUGGAGGGGGGACUGGAAUACUUGGUGUAGCAGUGAAAUGCGUAGAUAUCAAGUGGAACACCAGUGGCGAAGGCGAGUCUCUGGACAAUUCCUGACGCUGAGGCACGAAAGCCAGGGGAGCAAACGGG